rnacentral:rRNA from 1 species
AGUCCACAUCGACGGGGAGGUUUGGCACCUCGAUGUCGGCUCAUCACAUCCUGGGGCUGUAGUAGGUCCCAAGGGUUGGGCUGUUCGCCCAUUAAAGUGGUACGCGAGCUGGGUUCAGAACGUCGUGGGACAGUUCGGUCCCUAUCCGUCGCAGGCGUAGGAAAUUUGAGAAGACCUGUCCUUAGUACGAGAGGACCGGGAUGGACGUACCGCUGGUGUACCAGUUGUCCUGCCAAGGGCAUGGCUGGGUUGGUCAGUACGGAAUGGAUCAGCGUUGACAGCAGCUCAGC